GACGAACGCUGGCGGCGUGCUUAACACAUGCAAGUCGAACGAAGUGGCGAACGGGUGAGUAACGCGUAAUCAACCUGCACUUCAGAGGGGGAUAACAGUUGGAAACGACUGCUAAUACUGCAUACUGAAGGAGGGGAUUGGGUCUGAUUAGCUAGUUGGAGGGGUAACGGCCCACCAAGGCGAUGCUCAGUAGCCUGGCUGAGAGGGUGAGCGGCCACAUUGGGACAGAGACACGGCCCAGACUUCGUCGGGAGGCAGCAUGGGGGAAUCGGCCGAGAUUGACUGAAGUCUGACAGAGCAGCGCGCGGGGAGGGAUGACGGCCCUCGGGUUUUAAAGCUCUGUUAAUCGGGACGCGGUACCGGAAUAGAAAGCCACGGCUAACUACGUGCCAGCCGCCGCGGUAAUUC
rnacentral:rRNA from 1 species